GUCUACGGCCAUACCACCCUGAACAUGCCUGAUCUCUAAGCAGGGUUGGCCUUGUUAGCACUUGGAGGAAGAGUAAUCCAUGUGAAUAUUUUUGCUCUAGCCU
rnacentral:rRNA from 1 species